CUUUUUGGAGUUUUAAAGGUCUGGGCACCAUUCAGUUGCAUUGGUGCCCACCAACAGAGCUGAGAUAUUCUUCUAGAACUCUUUGUUUGUGUUCAGCAGAAGAAAGAAUGUCAUACACAUCUGGGAUGGCAUGAGGAUGGCAUAUUAAUUUAACAUGGGUUUAAGCAAAGACCUUCAUCUAACUCAGAGCACUUCUGAAGUUCUGUCCAUCAACAGAGCCAUGAGAAGUGGAAGUCAAAGGGGACAUUUGACUUCAAAACAAAGAUAUGAACAAUGUCAUAAAAGUGGCUCUACAGUGCAGUAUUACUAGUUUGACCAUAUUCAUGCAGAUAAAACACAACAGUCCUAUUCAUGGAUCAGCACAUCCACCCUCAACCUAAUCUUUCAUAUGGAUUCCAGACCCCUCAGUGCAGAGAGUAAAGAGAUUUGGCAUCAAACUAAUGACAUGGAGAUGGCUGAAAUAGUUUGAGUCAUAUCUCACUGGCAGAUUGUUCAAGGUCUCCUAGAGAGGAGAGGUGUCCAAGACACACCAGCUGACCACUGGGCUUCGUCAAGGAUCAGUGCUUGGACCACUCACUUGAUGUACAUAACAUCACUGGGACCGGUCAUUGAGGCACAUGGCUUUUCUACCACUGCUAUGCAGAUGAUACGCUGCUCUACCUGUCAUUCCAGCCUGAUGACCCUACUGUCUCAGCUCGUAUCUCUACCUGCCUCUCUGACAUUUUGGCCUGGAUGAAGGAACAACACUUUCAGCUCAAACUUGCUAAGACAGAACUCCUCGUGAUCCCAGCCAACCCAUCUGUUGACCACAACCUCAUUUUCAUCUUGGUUCAACUACACUAACACCAACCAGAACAGCCUGGAACCUGAGAGUGGUGGUAGAUGACCAGCUUAAUUUCACUGCACACAUCUCAUCAACAGCCCGGUCUUGCAGAUUCGCACUUUACAACAUCAGGAAAAUCAGACCUUUCCUGUCUGAAUAUGGAACACAACUCCUGGUCCAAGCUCUGGUUAUUUCAAAACUGGACUACUGAAAUGCUCUGUUGGCUGGCCUUCCAGCUAACACAAUUAAGCCACUGCAGAUGGUCCAGAAUGCAGCAGCACGUCUGGUCUUCAAUCAGCCAUAAAGGGCUCAUGUCACCCCACGCUUGAUUUCACUCCACUGAUUACCUGUAGCUGCCCGCAUCAAAUUCAAGGCUUUGACUCUGGCUUUGUGGACAGCCAAUGGAACCGCACACUUUUACUUCAAUUCACUUUUUCAGGUCUAUGCUCCAACUUGCUCUCUGCAGUCUAUGAACGAGUGAUGCCUGGUGGUCCCAUCACAAAGAGGCUCAAAGUCUAUUUCACGAUCAUUCACUUUCUCUGCUUUUCUGUGGUGGAAUGAACUUCCAGCCUCCACACGAUCUGCUGUUACCUUCUCAACAUUCAAGAACCAGCUUAAAACACAACUGUUCCACGAGUACUUAACCAACCCACCCUAAUUGCA